UACGGAGGGUGCGAGCGUUGUCCGGAAUCACUGGGCGUAAAGGGCGCGUAGGUGGCUACUCAAGCGCGCGGUGAAAGCCCGGGGCUCAACCCCGGGUCGGCCGUGCGAACUGUCGAGCUGGAGCACUGUAGAGGCAGGUGGAAUUCCGGGUGUAGCGGUGGAAUGCGUAGAGAUCCGGAAGAACACCGGUGGCGAAGGCGGCCUGCUGGGCAGUGGCUGACGCUGAGGCGCGACAGCGUGGGGAGCAAACAGG
rnacentral:rRNA from 1 species